AAAACAGAUCGGAUUGUCGCGCUCUGGCGAAAGCCAGAGUGAGGAAAGUCCGGACACUCGCCUCCUUUCGGAGGCAGCAGGGUAGCGGGUAAUCCCCGUCUAAGGUGACUUACGAGGUGCGAACAGAGACGCCUUCUCCCGAAAGGGAGGGGCACCCGGUUUCGAUCGGGUGAGCUCCUAGAGCGAUCUAGGAGGUGAAACGGCUAAAUCCUUACCCGAGUGCAAGGCCGUGCCUGUCUCUUCUUGGAGCUCAAGAAGGGACGGGAGUUGCCGCAAAGACCCGCACUUGGCAACAAGCGGGCAAGAGAGAUGACGAUCUCCGCCGAUAAGGCGGAACAGAAUCCGGCUUAUAGAUCUGUUUUGGAA
rnacentral:RNase_P_RNA from 2 species